rnacentral:rRNA from 1 species
GAUGAACGCUGGCGGCGUGCCUAAUACAUGCAAGUCGAGCGAACAGACGAGGAGCUUGCUCCUUCGACGUUAGCGGCGGACGGGUGAGUAACACGUAGGUAACCUACCUAUAAGACUGGGAUAACUUCGGGAAACCAGAGCUAAUACCGGAUAAUAUUUCGAACCGCAUGGUUCGAUAGUGAAAGAUGGCUUUGCUAUCACUUAUAGAUGGACCUGCGCCGUAUUAGCUAGUUGGUAAGGUAACGGCUUACCAAGGCAACGAUACGUAGCCGACCUGAGAGGGUGAUCGGCCACACUGGAACUGAGACACGGUCCAGACUCCUACGGGAGGCAGCAGUAGGGAAUCUUCCGCAAUGGGCGAAAGCCUGACGGAGCAACGCCGCGUGAGUGAUGAAGGUCUUCGGAUCGUAAAACUCUGUUAUUAGGGAAGAACAAACGUGUAAGUAACUGUGCACGUCUUGACGGUACCUAAUCAGAAAGCCACGGCUAACUACGUG